CUGGACCAGGCGGCCGGGAAGCUGGAGUUCUACGCCGUGUCGGAUGCCGGCUGCCUGACCCUCCUCCACAGGGUGCAGACGGUCUUCGCCGAGCCGGUGUACCCCGGGUUCUACCUGUCGGGGGGGUUCGACAUGAUGGAGCCUGGGUUCUACGGCUCCUCUGUGGAGCUCUGCGAGCCGUAACGCCCCCUGCCUGCCCACCCCAGUGCUGGCUCGGUCUCCAGGGACGCCGGCUCUGUGCAGCUUCCAGCUCUGUCGCUCUGUGAGCGUCCUGGAGAGAGAGGGGGGUUAAUACACACACACACUGACUGACUGGACACUCCAGUACA
rnacentral:lncRNA from 1 species